UUUGCCUAUUGAAGCUCUCAUCCAGUGACACUUAGUGGUCCCUGAUGGUCUUUAAGAAAAAAAGAGGCAAUCAUUACCCUCUCCAAUGCCUUCAAGUAUGCUACUGAUUGUUCCCACUGGAGCCUGAGAAACCACAACAGAAUCUCUUUCAAGUGUGAGAAUGCUAUUAUGUGUAGAAUGCUGAUUACCUUCAAAUCACAAAUUCAAGCAGGAGGAUUCUGCUCCUUGUUGUGGACUUGCAAAAAGUAACUUUUAAACUUAUAACUCUCUGCAUCGCCCAACUAGAAUGGUCAGUGGCUAGCCAUGUUAGGUGUUUCUAGGAGUUGGUCCAAAAAGUAGCUUUUCCCAGCUCUAUCCUGUUCUGUAUGCUGUCGUUCAUUACCCUCCUCUCCUACUGUGCAUGGCAUUCAUAGAUACUGGUAGGGAGCAACCAGGGAUGCAGCAGUGCGACUACUAGUGAUAUUUCUAUUCUUGGGCCAAGUAUCAGGUCAUAACACCAAGUGAAGAGCAUCCUCUGUGUUCUGUGCAGCUAUAGUACCAGGAUCAUAAGCAUGAUUCUGUAAGCCAACCAACACAAAACUGAGCCAUUCAACAGGAAUGUUACUUUAUGCAAAGUAAUCAGGUUUUUUUCCAAUUUAAAGUGCAAUAUACUAAUACAACUCUUGCAAAGAGAAAAACCAUGCAGCAUAUCAUUCUUUAA